GGGGUAAAAGCACUGUUUCGGUGCGGGCUGCGAGAGCGGUACCAAAUCGAGACGAACUCUGAAUACCCUGUGUGAAACUAGGCAGUCAGACUGUGGGGGAUAAGCUCCAUGGUCGAAAGGGAAACAGCCCAGACCGCCAGCUAAGGUCCCCAAAUCAACGCUCAGUGAUAAAGGAGGUGGGAUUGCCCAGACAACCAGGAGGUUUGCCUAGAAGCAGCCAUCCUCAAAGGAGUGCGUAAUAGCUCACUGGUCGAGCGAUCCUGCGCCGAAAAUGAACGGGGCUAAGCGUUGUACCGAAGCUGCGGAUUUAACUUGUUAAAUGGUAGGGGAGCGUUCCAUGUGGGGCGAAGCGUUAGCGUAAGCGGGCGUGGACUGCAUGGAAGUGAGAAUGUCGGCUUGAGUAGCGAAAACAUGGGUGAGAAUCCCAUGCCCCGAAACCCUAAGGGUUCCUCCGGCAGGCUCGUCCGCGGAGGGUUAGUCAGGACCUAAGGCGAGGCCGAAAGGCGUAGUCGAUGGACAACAGGUCAACAUUCCUGUACCUGUCAUGUUUUGGGAAGGGGGACGGAGAAGGCUAGCCCAGCCAGAAGUUGGUUACUGGUUCAAGCGUUCGAGGCGUUGAGAAGUGGCGAAAACACUUUGAGCUGAGGCGUGAGUACGAGCUGCUACGGCAGCGAAGUGGGUGAUGUCAAGCUUCCAAGAAAAGCCCUAUACCCGUUAAGGCAUGACGGCCUGUACCCGAAACCGACACAGGUGGGGUGGUAGAGAAUACCGAGGGGCGCGAGGUAACUCUCUCUAAGGAACUCGGCAAAAUGGCCCCGUAACUC
rnacentral:rRNA from 1 species